CGAAAGCCUGACGGAGCAACGCCGCGUGAGGGAUGAAGGCCUCUGGGCUGUAAACCUCUUUUCUCAAGGAAGAAGACCUGACGGUACUUGAGGAAUAAGCCACGGCUAAUUCCGUGCCAGCAGCCGCGGUAAUACGGGAGUGGCAAGCGUUAUCCGGAAUUAUUGGGCGUAAAGCGUCCGCAGGCGGCCUUGUAAGUCUGUCGUUAAAGCGUGGAGCUUAACUCCAUUUCGGCGAUGGAAACUACAAGGCUUGAGUGUGGUAGGGGCAGAGGGAAUUCCCGGUGUAGCGGUGAAAUGCGUAGAUAUCGGGAAGAACACCAGUGGCGAAGGCGCUCUGCUGGGCCAUAACUGACGCUCAUGGACGAAAGCCAGGGGAGCGAAAGGGAUUAGAUACCCCUGUAGUCCUGGCCGUAAACGAUGAACACUAGGUGUCGGGGGAAUCGACCCCCUCGGUGUCGUAGCUAACGCGUUAAGUGUUCCGCCUGGGGAGUACGCACGCAAGUGUGAAACUCAAAGGAAUUGACGGGGGCCCGCACAAGCGGUGGAGUAUGUGGUUUAAUUCGAUGCAACGCGAAGAACCUUACCAGGGCUUGACAUCCUGCGAAUCCCUUGGAAACUAGGGAGUGCCUUCGGGAGCGCAGAGACAGGUGGUGCAUGGCUGUCGUCAGCUCGUGUCGUGAGAUGUUGGGUUAAGUCCCGCAACGAGCGCAACCCACGUCUUUAGUUGCCAGCAUUAAGUUGGGCACUCUAGAGAGACCGCCGGUGAUAAACCGGAGGAAGGUGUGGAUGACGUCAAGUCAUCAUGCCCCUUACGUCCUGGGCUACACACGUACUACAAUGCUACGGACAAAGGGCAGCAAACUCGCGAGAGCUAGCAAAUCCCAUAAACCGUGGCUCAGUUCAGAUCGUAGGCUGCAACUCGCCUACGUGAAGGAGGAAUCGCUAGUAAUCGCAGGUCAGCAUACUGCGGUGAAUACGUUCCCGGGCCUUGUACACACCGCCCGUCACACCAUGGAAGUUGGCCACGCCCGAAGUCGUUACUCCAACCCGCAAGGGAGGAGGAUGCCGAAGGUGGGGCUGAUGACUGGGGUGAAGUCGUAACAAGGUAGCCGUACCGGAAGGUGCGGCUGGAUCACCUCCUAACAGGGAUACA
rnacentral:rRNA from 1 species